AAAGCGCGCGUAGGCGGUUACGUAAGUUGGAUGUGAAAUCCCCGGGCUCAACCUGGGAAUUGCAUUCAAAACUGCGUGGCUAGAGUGUGGGAGAGGAAGGUAGAAUUCCAGGUGUAGCGGUGAAAUGCGUAGAUAUCUGGAGGAAUACCGAUGGCGAAGGCAGCCUUCUGGCCUAACACUGACGCUGAGGUGCGAAAGCAUGGGGAGCAAACAGGAUUAGAUACCCCAGU
rnacentral:rRNA from 1 species